rnacentral:lncRNA from 1 species
GCUGGAAUGCAGUGGCACGAUCUUGGCUCACUGCAACCUCCGCCUCUCGGGUUCAAGCGAUUCUCCUGCCUCAGCCUCCCGAGUAGCUGGGACUACAGGCGCGUGCCACCAUGCUCAGCUAAUUUUUGUAUUUUUAGUAGAGAUGGGGUUUCACCAUGUUGGCCAGGAUGGUCUCGAUCUCUUAACCUUGUGAUCUGUCCGCCUUGGCCUCCCAAAAUGCUGGGAUUACGGGCAUCAGCCACAGAGCCUGGCCUUUAACUCACAACUUAAACAACUGUACAAGUGGUUUUCUUCAAGGCAACCAUCAUACUUUGGUAUACAGCAGAAGACCUUAAUGGAUACUUCCCAUUUCAUUACAUAGAAUAUUUUUUAAAUGUAUAUAUAAUCAAGGGUUGAGAUUUAAUAAAAUGAAUACUGCUUCUUCAAGAUGUUCUUAAGUGAAAAUGGGUUUUUUCUUAACACAUUUUCUUUGUGUGUGGAGGUAAAGAAUAUGAUGAUUACUAGUACUAUUUGGUGCCUCUGCCUUUGCUCAUGCUAAAGCAGAGAAGAUUCACCAUGGCUUCUACACCACCAGUGGAAGUGUCACCACAGUGAAAAAGGCAAACCUCUCAGUAUUGUUAUGAGAAUAUUUUUCACUUUGUGAAAGGUUUGGCCCACUGAAAGGUUCUUGGGAACUCCCAGGGGUCUUCAGUCCACAGUUUGAGAACCACUGCCCUACCUAGAGUAAGAAUUAUGUCCAGGACUAAGGAUAAAACCAAACUGUACCUGCCUUCAAAAAUCAACUCUUAAAAAGAUCAUUGUGAUCUGCUAUUAAUUUAACUGCUUGCCUGAACAGUUUAACUAUUAGGAAGAUAAUAAAAUCCCCAAGUCACUACAACAUGGCAUCUACAAUGGCCAGUAUACAAUGAGAAAUUGUAAGACCGGUAAAGAAGCAGGAAAAUUUGACACAAGAUUUAGAGAAAAUACAGUCAAUAAAAGCAGACCCACAAAACCAAAUGUAAAUUCUAUAACUAUAAAAUGUAGGUGGAAUGAAAUCUUUAUUGGAUAGGCUUAACAAUAAUUGGACACUAUCAAAGAAAAAAAAAACAGUGACUUCAAGACAGGUAAAUAGGUAUUACCAAACUGAAGUACAAAGAGUAAAAAGACUGGGGGUUGCACCUCCGUGACUGGUGGCACCAUAUAAGUGGUCUAACACACAUAUAAUUGGAGUCUUAGGAGGAGGAAAAGUACUAAAGAAGCAGAAAAAAGUAUUUGAAGAUACAAUGGUUGAAAUUUCUCCAAAUUCAAUAAAAAAAUCAACCCACUGAUCAAAGGUAAGGGAAAGUGAAGCAUAGUGGCACACGACUGUAAUCCCAGCUAUUUUGGAGGCUGAGGCACGAGAAUUGCUUGAACCUGGGAGGCAGAGGCUGCGGUGAGCUGAAAUCAUGGCACUGCACUCCAGCCUGGGUGACACAGUGAGACUGUCUCAAAAAAAAAAAAAAAAAAGAUAAAAUUAGCUGCUAGUAGCCAUAUAACACAAGAAAUGCUAAAGGAAGCUUUUCAG